GAUAAACGCUGGCGGCGCACAUAAGACAUGCAAGUCGAACGGACUUAACUCAUUCUUUUAGAUUGAGAGCGGUUAGUGGCGGACUGGUGAGUAACACGUAAGCAACCUGCCUAUUAGAGGGGAAUAACAGUGAGAAAUCAUUGCUAAUACCGCAUAUGCUAACAGUAUCGCAUGAUACAGUUAGGAAAGGAGCAAUCCGCUAAUAGAUGGGCUUGCGUCUGAUUAGCUAGUUGGUGAGGUAACGGCCCACCAAGGCGACGAUCGGUAGCCGGACUGAGAGGUUGAACGGCCACAUUGGGACUGAGACACGGCCCAG
rnacentral:rRNA from 1 species